CUUAAAUUAAAUUAAACAAGGACUGGUACAGUAAGGGGACGAGUGGUAUCCAUUUAGUGCUUUACAAUUUACGAAUCGCGUUCUGUCGCUUCAGAUGUCCUGUGAGGCUCACACGUCAGCCGGGGCAAAGAUGCUGACAGAAAGGCCUAAUGGAAGGAAGAUGUUUGCUUCUAAUUUAGAAUGAGAACCACCACACCCCACAGAUCAAAACCCAUGGAAACUUCCAGUGCCCUGCAGCAACAUAUACAGCAGAAUUUCUGAGUGUGACAAUAAUCUUCUAGAAGCAGAUUUCAACUUGGUAUCAGAAAAUUUCUCACAGAACUCAAUCAAAUCGGAAG